GUCAGGAUGUCAGAGCGGUCAAAGGCGCCAGACUCAAGUUUCCAAACUUGCUUUUCUAUUGCGCAGCCAAUGGGCGUUCUGGUCCACUAAUGUGGGCGUCGGUUCGAAUCCCACUCCUGAAA